UAGAGUUUGAUCCUGGCUCAGAACGAACGCUGGCGGCGCGUCUUAAGCAUGCAAGUCGAACGGCAUGAGGAAUGCUUGCAUUCCCCAGAGAGUGGCGGACUGGUGAGUAACACGUGGGUGACCUACCCUUGAGAUGGGGAUAGCCAUUAGAAAUAGUGGAUAAUACCGAAUACGCUCUACGGACUCUGGUUUGUAGAGGAAACAGGCUACGGCCUGGCUCGAGGAUGGGCCCGCGUCCCAUUAGCUAGUUGGUGAGGUAAGAGCCCACCAAGGCGACGAUGGGUAUCCGGCCUGAGAGGGUGUACGGACACAUUGGGACUGAGAUACGGCCCAAACUCCUACGGGAGGCAGCAGCUAAGAAUAUUCCGCAAUGGACGAAAGUCUGACGGAGCGACGCCGCGUGGAUGACGAAGGCCGAAAGGUUGUAAAAUCCUUUUGCUGAUGAAGAAUAAGCGUGGUAGGGAAUGACCGCGUGAUGACAUUAGUCGGUGAAUAAGCCCCGGCUAACUACGUGCCAGCAGCCGCGGUAACACGUAGGGGGCAAGCGUUGUUCGGAAUUAUUGGGCGUAAAGGGCAUGUAGGCGGUUUGGUAAGCCUGAUGUGAAAUCCUGCAGCUUAACUGUAGAACUGCAUUGGGUACUGCCGAACUUGAAUCACUGAGGGGAAACUAGAAUUCCAGGUGUAGGGGUGGAAUCUGUAGAUAUCUGGAAGAAUACCGGUGGCGAAGGCGGGUUUCUAGCAGAUGAUUGACGCUGAGGUGCGAAAGUGCGGGGAGCGAACAGGAUUAGAUACCCUGGUAGUCCGCACCGUAAAC
rnacentral:rRNA from 1 species